UUGUUUAUAGCGUAAAAACAUCUUUGAGUCGAAAAGAAACACAUAUUAGAACAUCAAACAUACAUCUAUAUUAAAAUCUAAAAUUUUUUAAUCAGCUUUCGAAUUAAAAAGUAAAAGCAAACCAAUUACGACUUCCACACAAAAUCUAGAGUGCUAGUUACAAAUUUAUCGAGAACAACACUAAAUCACCCACAAUUCAACAAAUUCAUUAAAGAUAUUUCAAAUCUACAAUCUUUAUGGUAAAACGCAAACAUGAUCUCUUAUAUAUUUCAAUCAUUUCCACAUUUUGUGCUUCCCUCCAAAAAACCCAUGGUGCUUUCCACCAAACACCCCAUGCUUCCAUCGAUUCCCAAACUUUCCAUGUUUAAAUUUCCCAUGCUUAAACUUUCCAUGGUGACCAAAGGGUCGACCAUAACCAUAACCAUAACCAUGGGACCCAUGACCAUGAGCUAGAUGGUGGGCCCCAUAUGCAGCGGCAGCAACCGCCGCACCUCCCGCUAGUAUUGUACCCAUGCCCGGUCCUGGUCCUCCAUGCCCUGAAUUUUUCUAGUUAGACCAAUGCAUUUAAUGCAAGAAAUAGCAACGUACUUUUAUCGAUUUGUUUAUUAUAUUAUCCGACUUUAUUAUCCUAUAAUAUACAAAAAAAAUUGUAAUAUACAAAAAAAAAAGUAAGUUAUUACUUCUUGCACUUAUCCUUGAAAAGUAAUUUAGAGCGAAUGGUAAGGAUUACAUAAAAGAAACCUGAUUGAAAUGGAGCAGAUUGUCCAGGGUAGCCUGAUGAUGGUCCAGGAUAGCCUGAUGGUGGGUAGCCUGCAGGCGGAUAGCCGGUGGGAGGAUAUCCAUGUGAUGGAUAUCCUCCCUGUGGUGGAUAUCCGCCUCCGNNNNNNNN
rnacentral:lncRNA from 1 species